AUAAGCAUAGCUUAGUGGAUAGAGUAUGGGACUGGGAAUCAGAAGGGUCUGGGUUCUAAUCCCUGUUCUGACA
rnacentral:tRNA from 1 species